AUUGAACGCUGGCGGAAUGCUUUACACAUGCAAGUCGAACGGCAGCACGGACUUCGGUCUGGUGGCGAGUGGCGAACGGGUGAGUAACAUAUCGGAACGUAUCCAAUAAUGGGGGAUAACUAAUCGAAAGGUUGGCUAAUACCGCAUACGCCCUACGGGGGAAAGCUAGGGACCUCGGGGCCGGCGGUAAUGGACGGGCCGAUAUCUGAUUAGCUAGUUGGUGGGGUAAAGGCCCACCAAGGCGACGAUCAGUAGCUGGGUCUGAGAGGACGACCAGCCACACUGGAACUGAGACACGGUCCAGACUCCUACGGGAGGCAGCAGUGGGGAAUUUUGGACAAUGGGCGCAAGCCUGAUCCAGCCAUUCCGCGUGAGUGAAGAAGGCCUUCGGGUUGUAAAGCUCUUUCGCAAGGGAAGAAAACUUACCCUCUAACAUAGGGUGAGGUUGACGGUACCUUGAUAAGAAGCACCGGCUAACUACGUGCCAGCAGCCGCCGUAA
rnacentral:rRNA from 1 species